UACGAAGGGGGGCUAGCGUUGUUCGGAAUUACUGGGCGUAAAGCGCACGUAGGCGGAUAUUUAAGUCAGGGGUGAAAUCCCAGAGCUCAACUCUGGAACUGCCUUUGAUACUGGGUAUCUUGAGUAUGGAAGAGGUAAGUGGAAUUGCGAGUGUAGAGGUGAAAUUCGUAGAUAUUCGCAGGAACACCAGUGGCGAAGGCGGCUUACUGGUCCAUUACUGACGCUGAGGUGGCGAAAGCGUGGGGAGCAAACUAGGAGUUAGCAAACCCCUGU
rnacentral:rRNA from 1 species